rnacentral:misc_RNA from 1 species
GAUGAAGACGCAGCGAAAUGCGAUAAGUAGUGUGAAUUGCAGAAUUCAGUGAAUCAUCGAAUCUUUGAACGCACAUUGCGCCCGCCAGUAUUCUGGCGGGCAUGCCUGUUCGAGCGUCAUUUCAACCAUCAAGCCCCAGGCUUGUGUUGGGGACCUGCGGCUGCCGCAGGCCCUGAAAACCAGUGGCGGGCUCGCUGUCACACCGGGCGUAGUAGAUUUUAUCUCGCUCAGGGCGUGCUGCGGGUUCCGGCCGUUAAAAAGCCUUUUUUACCCAAGGUUGACCUCGGAUCAGGUAGGAAGACCCGCUGAACUUAAGCAUAUCAAUAAGCGGAGGA